rnacentral:lncRNA from 1 species
AGUUGAAACAUUGAUUUCUGAUUUAGUUUGCAUUUAGUGGUUAUUUUUCACAUCUUUAUUCAUAUUCUUGAUUCAGGUAGUCUGCGUUACUGCCAGCAGAUUGGUAUUUUAUAGAGUUUUAGGAUUGUGGUGUAUGUGACUUUGAUAUUAAUUAGGAAAGGAGCUCUAGCACCCAUGUAAUAAUUUAAUUGCAGCAUCCCCAACAUCACUUUUUAACUGUGCCUCAAGUGCAGGAGUCUUGAAGUUCUUGUUUUCUGGGGUGAAUUUUUUGUAUUUCGCUCAGCUGUGUUUGGAUUAGGCAUUUAGUAAAUAGCUGUGGGUUGUGUGCACUCUCCUG